CUUCCUUGGUGACUGGUUUGUAACCAAGGAAGUGGCCAUAUACCCAGUAUUCCCUACGAUUUUUACGUAAGCAGGGGGUAUAAAGAAGAAGGGAGGAGAGGCCUUUGCUCUCUUCCCUUCCGGUGGUUCUGAAGGUGCAGGUUCCCUGCUGUUGGUUCUGCUGUGUGGGGUUGUGAGGCCUAGUGAGGCCUUGUAGACCUUGGGAGGCAGAGGGUGCCGGCGGUCAUUCAGCGUGACUUCUGUUGUCCCAAGGAGAGUAAUUUCUAUAGUUUUUUUCCCCUUUCCUAAAGGGGGAGGGACAGAAAAGGCUUUUGCUGAGCCUUGGAAGUUUGGCGAGAAGCCAGCUCAAAAUGUGCUCAACCCUUCAUCAUGUCAAGCUCUCAACAAAUAUGUCUCCAAAACUAUUUUAACCUGAUCAGACAUUUCAGUCCAAAACUUGGAGUGGAAGACAGAAAAGCAUCUUAGGUCAUAGAGCUUCCAGAGCACAUUUUUACUGACAUUCACCAUCCCAAAAGACUGAAGGUCAAGUAUCCUCUUCAGGUCAAGAAGUGGGGUAUGAAAGGCAGAGAGCAUUUUGUUCUUGUUAGAAAUCUCAAACUUAUGUUCCUGUGGUUUAGGGUAUGGUUGUUCUUUUUUUCUUUCUUUCUUUCUUUAUUUAUUUAUUUAAUGUUGCACUUCUUUUUUAUACCAGAAAUCUCUGGAAAAAAGCAAGUAAAAUCAUGCUUUCUUCAUUAUUUUAUGAGGCUGCUUUGCAUGAAGGGUUAUUUAACCUUUUGAGUUAGUAACGAAGAGCAAGCUUUAAAACAUUUAUAAAUGUAUUUUCAGAUGUGCCAGUAGCUGUUAUAUAAAGAGUUUGCAAUUAAGAAUUCUAUGAACAGAAUAUUUAAGAAAAACUUGCUGUUAAGAGCGUAAAAUAUGUAGUUUAUUCAUUGCCUAUCUAAAGCAAAAGGUGCCAGACUGCUGUUGGAAACAGUUUUGGAAAACUAAAAAAUGCUUCUCUUUAGAAAGCUUCUAGCCUUUCUAAAUUUGUGCAGUGACAAAAGAAUAUGAAAAGUUUGCAAUGAAUACUUGUCAUCAACAAAAAGAAUUUAGGAACAUUGAAUUAAAGCUCAGGCUUCUCUUGCUCUUGAGCUCCAUAUUUGGCAGACCAUUUUUUCUCUCAGAAAAAAUCCAUAGUGACAGGGGAUGAAAGUCACAUGUAAAAGAUGUGCCAAAAAUUUUGCAUCCAAAAUACUCUCUCUAUUGUCUUGUACCUUGACUUUUGUUAUUUUUGUUUAGAAAUUUCUGUUUAGAAAUGAUUCAUGGGGCAGAGCUAGAAAAAUGGAAUUUGCACAAUCAAACAGAAAAAAUGCUGGGGAAUCAGAGCAGACAUGUUGUGAAGCCAUGCAUCACACUUAAAUGAUUCUGAAUAAAUGAUCUGUAAAAUCACACCUGUUUAUUUGUAGAUAAUCUACAACAAAAGGAAUAAAAAAAAAAAUUAAAAUUCCUGUGACAGCUUGACCAAUUUAAGUUUUUGCAUAAAGAAACCAGCAUGUUUAAAACAAGCUUACACCUUGAAUAAUAGGGCCUUAAAGGGUUGUUCUGCAAUAUUGUAGUUAAGAGAGUAUGUCAGCCAGAAUUAUAUGUGUGCAGAUUUGAAAUAAAAUGAAUGGGUUGUAAAAGACUUGACUGCCCUUGAUCUUUGCACUUGUUCCUCACUGAUGUCUUGGAGAUCUACACAAGUGUAUCAAGACAUCUAUCGUCUCUAUGUAGCUGACUGGCAAAGUUCCCCAUGCAUAGUGGAUUUGAGUUUAACUUGGUUAUGAUGUAGGGCAAGUAUUACACAUUUUUCAGAAUUUAUGUAGCAAGUUUCAAAGUACUAUUUUGUAAUUUUAAAUAAUAUGUGAUUUUGAAAGGGGUAAAGGUGUUCAUUUCCAGUCCCGCAAAUGUGUUUCUUUCUGAUAAGCAAGUGAGAAGACUGAAAUAUCGUUAGAUGCUGGCAGUACAAAAUGGCAUACCCCCACGCACAGUCUUUGACAGAAAGAAUGUGCUUCCUUUUUUAAUUUGCAUUUCUAAAUUUGCAGUGGCAGGUUGUGCUGUUUUUGACUGGGGUAAGGGGUGCACAAGGAGAUGGGAGGGGACACAGCCAGGACAACUGACUUCAACUGACCAGAGGGAUAUUCCAUACAAUACAGUGUCAUACUUAACAUAUAGUGCUGGGGCAAGAAGUAGAAAGGGGGGGACGCUGGGAGUGGUGACAUUUGUAAUCUGUCGUGGUUUAACCACAGCCAGCCACCAUGCCCCACGCAGCUGCUUGCUCACUCUCCUACCA